CUUCCGGAAUGUGUGGGCGGCACUCUCGAACAGCCGCGCAGCUGGAGAGUAUAAAAGGAGAGGUUCGGUAAUAAAGCAAAGAUAUCCUCAGGAAAACAUCUACUUAUAAGCCUGGAAAUCACAUGAUGACAUGAAAAGAACACAAAACUAACUGCAGCUUCUCAUAGAGCGAGGCACAGUGACACAUGCAUGCAUUCAAUGAAUGAGUGACUUCUGGACUUGAAAUCAAGCUAAUGAGAAAGUGUGGUCCAUCUGAUCCUGUCUUUCAGUGUGCCCUCUACACAGGGACCCUGGGACACUGAGGCACACUGGCUGGGACCAGCCACUCUCAGAACAUUGUUUAUGAGCAGCAGUCUCACUGUUCCCAUCUUGCAAGUAGUACAUAACCAAAGUGGGCAAUGUUUUCAGAGAUAACAGGCAUCCUCAUUGGCUUUUCUCACUCUGGUCCUGCAUCUAAUGUCACUCUGGAGGAAUGGAAGCCACGAUUCUGGGUCCCGAUGCAAUCUUCGCAGACUCCUGAUUGACUCCUUCUGAUUUAUUAGGGGCAGCCUACUGGGACUAAAAGACAGAGGACAGUUGGGAAGUUGCCAGGAAAACACGGGCUGGAGUAAAAACUAAAUGCAAAUUUUAGAAAUGUGAGUUAGUUGGAAAUACACUUCUGGAGAAAAUUGUUAA